rnacentral:rRNA from 1 species
UGGGGAAUAUUGGACAAUGGGCGCAAGCCUGAUCCAGCAAUGCCGCGUGUGUGAAGAAGGCCUUCGGGUCGUAAAGCACUUUUAUCAGGAGCGAAACGCUGUCGGCUAAUACCCGGCGGAACUGACGGUACCUGAGGAAUAAGCACCGGCUAACUUCGUGCCAGCAGCCGCGGUAAUACGAAGGGUGCAAGCGUUAAUCGGAAUUACUGGGCGUAAAGCGUGCGUAGGCGGUUUCUUAAGUCUGCUGUGAAAUCCCCGGGCUCAACCUGGGAAUGGCAGUGGAUACUGGGAGGCUAGAGUGUGUCAGAGGGUGGUGGAAUUCCCGGUGUAGCGGUGAAAUGCGUAGAGAUCGGGAGGAACAUCAGUGGCGAAGGCGGCCACCUGGGACAACACUGACGCUGAGGCACGAAAGCGUGGGGAGCAAACAGGAUUAGAUACCCUGGUAGUCCACGCCCUAAACGAUGCGAACUGGAUGUUGGUCUCAACUCGGAGAUCAGUGUCGAAGCUAACGCGUUAAGUUCGCCGCCUGGGGAGUACGGUCGCAAGACUGAAACUCAAAUGAAUUGACGGGGUCAUAGCUGUUUCCUG